rnacentral:rRNA from 1 species
ACGAACGCUGGCGGCAUGCCUAACACAUGCAAGUCGAACGAGACCUUCGGGUCUAGUGGCGCACGGGUGCGUAACGCGUGGGAAUCUGCCCUUGGGUUCGGAAUAACUCGCCGAAAGGCGUGCUAAUACCGGAUGAUGUCGUAAGACCAAAGAUUUAUCGCCCAGGGAUGAGCCCGCGUAAGAUUAGGUAGUUGGUGAGGUAAAGGCUCACCAAGCCGACGAUCUUUAGCUGGUCUGAGAGGAUGAUCAGCCACACUGGGACUGAGACACGGCCCAG